GUUCCCACAACAUGGACAUGAUGGAUUUUUGUGCAGGACUUUUACCACCAGUGUGUCCUCCAGUGGGAGGUCAGUAGUGUCACAUAGGGCUGAUGCUGAUCCCCUGAUAACUCUGGAGUUAGGUAUCUGGUACGCCUGUGGAGACCUGGCCAAAUCCUCCAGCCAGGGGGAAGGAUGGUAACCAUCUCUCUCUACCACCAUUCAGAGUGAAGAGGACCACAGCUGGCCCCAAAGCAGCAAGGAUUUCCUGCAGGGCAACAAAACAGCCAGAAAAAGGUCACUGAGUCUGUCAGAAGUUAAUCACCAUUUCCAGACCAGGCUGUGAAGUGUGAGAGAGACACCUCUGGCAGCAAGGACGGGAGUGUGCAGCCCUCUAGUGCCCACUGCCAGCCACAGUACUGCAGCAGUGGCCAUGUCCCUGCAGAGCUGCACAGCUUCCCCCUCUGCUGUGAGGACCUGGCAUUCCUGAAUCCACUCCUGACAGGCAGCAGGCCACAGGCUUUGCACCCUGAGGCCCAGGGCACAUUAAAAAUAAUAAAAAAAAUUCCAACCUUUUGUCUUUCAGA